rnacentral:lncRNA from 1 species
UUUCAACUCACUGGACCAGAAUAAUCGAUUGUAUAGUUUAUACAAUCGAUUAUUCUGGUGUUCCAAAAAACUGCCAGAAUUUUAAACUUCAAUGUAUCUUUCACCAUCAUUUGGUUUUCGGCAGUUCAAGCAACCCUGCAUUGAUAUACUUAUGUGAGUAGUAGCAGCAGAAUCUACCCACCAAGUAUCCUUAGGUACCGAAAUUAAAUU